ensembl:snoRNA
CUUUAUCCAGUUAAAACCCAGCUCAUUUGUUGUUCUUUUGGUUUGCACUAGGAUGCUAAAGGAAAUAACCCCUGCACGUUCUGUCUCUAUGGUAGCCCAGAUUGAAUUGGGAAGUACAUCU